CGCUCUGAGGAACGCGGCUUGCUGGGUGGAAGCACCACAGUCGCUGUCUUUGUUCUUUUGCCAACGUGCGGUACCUCUCAGGAAAGCCAUGGACAGGCAGGCGGAGGCCGGGCACUUGGCGGGACCCGAAGCCCGCUAUGGGCAGGAGGCGGGGAGGUCGGGAUGGCGGGAACCGGCCGGGGGGCGGGCCAGCUCUUGGCGGGAAUGGGCGCUGAGUGGUUCUCGGGAGGGGGAGGGGAGGAGACGGGCGGGCGCCUGAGCCAAGUUUGAAAUAGUUCAAAACUCGGGUUGGUAACGGUCUUAACCGCCCUCUUCUCCGGCGUGCCAUACUGGGCCCGGGGUCCAACACUUUUGUUGGCGCCACUGAAAGGAAGGCGUGUGACCGGCCCCACAGGGGAUUCAAUGCGGGGCGGCCCUCGCUCCUCACGGAGAGCACCAGUAGGCAGAUAAAGUUAGUGCGGUUCCUUUCGGCACCUUGGAGGCUUUGGCUAGCAAAACUGGUGCCUAAUCCCCUGACGACGGAAGAAAAGGCGACCAGAUUUCUCUGAAAGGCCUUCCAAGCUGCGUUUAUGGUUCUUAGCACUUAUCAAGGUUUCAAGUUGUUUAUUAACAACUUUUGAGAGCAAAUAGCUCACCCCAUGUUUUCUCAGCAAAGUGUAAGGAGUUUGCAACAUUUGUCAAUGGCAUCUUGGGAGUCAACCUUUCUCCCCGAGGAAUAGAAAUGAGCUGCUUAUACAGUACGCAGCCCAACCCCCACUCCCUGUUCAGUUAUCUGGCAAUGAGGUGAAUAAUGGUAUUUCAAAUUUACUUUUAAUAAGAUGCAUCUGAAUGGCAAAAUCCCACAGACCUGUGAAAACAGGUUCAAUAGUGAAGAGUUCAGACUGAGAAUUUGUAACACUCUGGAAGUUAUGUAUCUGUAUUGGUCGUGGUUCUCUAGAGGAACAGGUUGAAUGAAUGAAUGAAUAAAUGAAUGUAUUCAUUCCUUCACUGAUAGAAUGGAUAGAGAACUGAGAAUGAAUAUGUAUAUAGAUUUUCAGAAUAUAUAGAAAGAAGGAAUAUAUACAUAAUCCUUCACUGGCAUUAGAGCACACAUCUUCUGGCUUCCUUCAGCCAAAGACACCCAGGCUUGUAGACUCAAGAACUAGCGGAUUCUUGGGUUUUCCGUUGGUAAACAGUAAUUGUUGGACUAGCUGGACCUACAGCCUGUAAGCCACUCUAAUAAACUAGUGUGUGUGUAUGUAAGCGGAAAAUUCAAGAAUCCACUAGUUCAGUUCAUAAGCUGGGAUGCCUUCAGCUGAACUUCAUUAUACACCUGAAAUUCGGUAUACAUUAUACAUUGGCACAAAUGCCAAUAAAGGAAUGGGCUUGCCAAGUAGAGUGAGGACAAGCAGGUGCAGCUUCCCACCUUAAAAGAUCUGGAUUAAAAGUCAAAUGAUUUAGUUAAGAAAAAAGCCAUCGUGGGUGUACCCUUAGUUUUUAGUUAAUUCUUGGGUUUUAGUUAAUACCCUAUGUAGUCAACUUGACAACCAAGAAUAGCCAGAGAAAAAUACACUCAUGUUCAAAUAAAAAUAUAUAUAAAAGAAAAAUAUGAGUUACUCAAGAGUGCUCUAUAAUGUGACAAACUAGCAGUCAACAAUAUACUAACUUGUCCUGGUAAAAAAGCUAUCCAACUACAUCAACAACUUAUACGUGCUUUUUUUUUUUUCUUUUUUUUCAGUAAACAAUUUAGACUUGAGGUAACUGCUUAUCUUGAACUUUGUGUUACUAUUUUAAAUGUCCUUUAAUAUUAAGUAUUGAUAACAUUUUUAUAGAAAAAUCAAGGAAUUUACAUUAGUAUAUAUAUGGAGCUUCUAAAGAAAUCCAAGAGUUGUAAUGAAAAUUGUUAGGUGUUUAGAAGCAAGAAAUGUUAAAUAUUUAAACAAAACUGGUUUAAGAAAAGAACAUUUUAGCCAGCUUCAGAAAAAGCACAAGACCUAGAAUGGAUGGGGCAACAAAAGUACUCCAAAUAGACAUGUACAAUCUACAUAGAAAACAUAAUUGGAGCUGAGAAUUCUUAUUUAAAAGAGUGAGCAGAACUAAGUGCUUCUACAUUAAGUAUGUACUUUUUUAAAUAUAAAGUCUAGGUUGGAAUAGUAAAGCUGAAUGAGUACCAGUGAAUCAGCAUUGCCUUAAUUCUGUGAUGACAUUAACCAACUACAAAAGAUAGUUAGGGUAUAGUGAUGGGCAGAAAAAAAUGGAAUAACCUGACUUUGCAAAUAAGUUGAUUAUGUAGAGAGGAUUUGAUAUUUUGCAACAGUGUUUAUGAAGGCCAGGAAAAUGAGAAAAAAAAA
rnacentral:lncRNA from 1 species